CUACGGGUCGCUGCAGUGGGGAAUAUUGCACAAUGGAGGGAACUCUGAUGCAGCAACGCCGCGUGGAGGAUGACGCAUUUCGGUGUGUAAACUCCUUUUAUAUAGGAAGAUAAUGACGGUACUAUAUGAAUAAGCACCGGCUAACUCCGUGCCAGCAGCCGCGGUAAUAAGGAGGGUGCAAGCGUUACUCGGAAUCACUGGGCGUAAAGCGCAUGCAGGCGGUUAAAUAAGUUGGAAGUGAAAUCCUAUGGCUCAACCAUAGAACUGCUUCCAAAACUGUUUAACUAGAGUCUGGGAGGGGAAGAUGGAAUUAGUAGUGUAGGGGUAAAAUCCGUAGAGAUUACUAGGAAUACCAAAAGCGAAGGCGAUCUUCUGGAACAGUACUGACGCUGAGAUGCGAAAGCGUGGGGAGCAAACAGGAUUAGAUACCCGAGUAGUC
rnacentral:rRNA from 1 species